rnacentral:sRNA from 1 species
GCCCCGCGAGGAUGAGCCCAGGGUUCCAUGGUCCCUACCUAGACCCCACGCGAUUCCUCACCUGAGACCCCGUCCCACACAGCCCUGGCUGGGGCAAACAGCCCCCUCCCCACUUCCUAUCUAAUUUGCAGGGAGAUCGACGACGUGAUCAGCGCAGACCUGCAGUCUCUCCAGGUGGGGACUGUUCCUGGAGGGGCGGGAUGGGGUGGGGGUCUUGGCCAGCGCUAAACUUUCGCCAUGCGGCAGGGCCCCUACCUGCCCCUGGAGCUGGGGUUGGAGCAGCUGUUUCAGGAGCUGGCUGGAGAGCCAGGGCCCACACCUCCACCCCCAGAGAGAUCGGGCUCAGGACCUGUGAGCAGCUGCUGCAGUGUUUCGGGCAUGGGCAAAGCCUGGCCUUACACCACUUCCAGCAGCUCUGGGGCCACCUCCUGGAGUGGCAGGCCAUAUUCGACAAGUUCGAUGAGGACACCUCUGGAACCAUGAACUCCUACGAGCUGAGGCUGGCGCUGAAUGCAGCAGGCUUCCACCUGAACAACCAGCUGACCCAGGCCCUCACCAGCCGCUACCGGGAUAGCCGUCUCCGUGUGGACUUCGAGCGGUUCGUGUCCUGUGUGGCCCACCUCACCUGCAUCUUCUGCCACUGCAGCCAGCACCUGGAUGGGGGUGAGGGGGUCAUCUGCCUGACCCACAGACAGUGGAUGGAGGUGGCCACCUUCUCCUAGGAUCUCCAGAUGGGUGCACCUGCUGCUCAGGGCAGGGUUGCUGAGCAAGACCACCUCCCUAGGCCCUGCCGGGCAUGGGUGCCACUCUCUCUGGCAUCCACCUGCCUGGGGCUAGUCUCUGGCCCUCACUGCUCAUGGCCGGGCGACCACUCUGGCCUGUGUACUCCUCACUCAGAAACAAGAACAGCGACAGCCCCUCUCAAGCAGAUGACACGAGCUAGUCCACGUUGACAGCUUAAGACAGUGCUAGCUCUGCCCUGGCUCUCCUAGAAGGUGGAGGACAGACACAGGAGAAAUAAAAAAAGAUGAUGCUGCAGGAAUCCUUCUUAAAAAUAUUACAUGUUUUAUUAUCCUGUCCCCAGAGGGUGGUUUAUCCAGAAACCAAGAAAAAAAAA